CCCCACAUUUUCCAGACUCAGGUGUGGAAAAAUCCUUUCCUACUUGGCCUGGUGGACACAUGACAGUUGGUUUCUAAAUUUGACUUGAGUUUCUGCUGCACCUCAAACAGAGAGGCCACCUGCCAGAAUGGGGCUGAGUGUUCCGAGUAGCUAACCAAGGAGAAUAGAAAAUCUGCCAAUGAGGCCGUUUCUAAACACACAACUGUCUCGAGGAAGGGGAAAGAAGGGACUGUAGUUCAGUCAUGGAGAAGGAUGUAUAAAAAGGCUCUGGACAGGGCUUUAUUCCCAGCUCUGCUCCUAACCAGCUGCGUAUUUACUCUGCAUUGUGGUGUCCUUGUAAGUACAUGAAGAGAGGAGCCUGCAGCACUUCACACCACUACUUGGCCAUCCCAUCCACUGUCAGGGCCUCCCCAUCACUGAUGACUAAUUCAAAUCUCUGUCUCCAGCCUAGGCUCUCUCCAGACCCAUAGCUGUUUAUUCCCAGUGACGGCCUAUGGGUCAUCUCUACUGGGAUAUCGCACUGACUCCUUAAACACAGUAAGCCCAAAACUAAACCACCUUGUCCUGUGUUCCCUCCUCAGUGUCAGCAGCACCUUCCACACUGAAAGAGACUCGGAGUCCUCCUCAAUCCUGCAUUCCAUGUCACAUAGACUUUAUUUAACUUAUUUGUUCACACAACCCGACUCUGAGCUCCUGGGAGGCACAGGCUGGGCCUUCUUCACCUGAAUCUUUGCAUCCCCAGCACCUAGAACAGCAUCAAUAUACAAAGAGCUCUUACAAAUCAGUAAGAAAAAAAAUAAUACAU
rnacentral:lncRNA from 1 species